GAUGAACGCUGGCGGCGUGCCUAAUACAUGCAAGUCGAGCGAACAGACGAGGAGCUUGCUCCUCUGACGUUAGCGGCGGACGGGUGAGUAACACGUGGAUAACCUACCUAUAAGACUGGGAUAACUUCGGGAAACCGGAGCUAAUACCGGAUAAUAUAUUGAACCGCAUGGUUCAAUAGUGAAAGACGGUUUUGCUGUCACUUAUAGAUGGAUCCGCGCCGCAUUAGCUAGUUGGUAAGGUAACGGCUUACCAAGGCAACGAUGCGUAGCCGACCUGAGAGGGUGAUAGGCCACACUGGAACUGAGACACGGUCCAGACUCCUACGGGAGGCAGCAGUAGGGAAUCUUCCGCAAUGGGGGAAAGCUUGGCGGAGCAGCGCCGCGUGAGUGGUGAAGGUCUUCGGAUCGUAAAACUCUGUUAUUAGGGAAGAACAAAUGUGUAAUUAACUAUGCACGUCUUGACGGUACCUAAUCAGAAAGCCACGGCUAACUACGUG
rnacentral:rRNA from 1 species